CGCGCAGGCGGCCUGGUAAGUGAAACGUGAAAGCCCCCGGCUUAACCGGGGAUGUGCGUCUCAUACUGCCAGGCUUGAGGGCGGGAGAGGAAACGGGAAUUCCCGGUGUAGCGGUGAAAUGCACUGAUAUCGGGAGGAACACCUGUGGCGAAGGCGCGUUUCUGGCCCGCUCCUGACGCUCAGGCGCGAAAGCUGGGGGAGCAAACA
rnacentral:rRNA from 1 species